UUGAAAGGGAAACGAUUGAAGUCAGUCGUACCGACGGAAAAUCAGCUCUUCGAGUGCGGACUUGUGGGCGUACGUGAGCUUUAACCGGUCUUGUUGUUUGCUUGUUUGUGCUUUUUGGGUGUACUUUUUCGUAUGGUAGGCCAACGUCAGUUUUGAUCACCAUAAAAUGAUCGGAGGAAUGUAGCUUCGAUCUUGUAUUAAAGUGUUAUAGCCUUUGGUAGAUGUGGUGACUGAGACUGAGGAUUGCAACGAAUACCCUUUGGGCUAUCCGUCUGACCUCUGAAAGUUGCUUAGGUGCCGAAAGCUUGCUUACGGUCAUCUAUGACGACGGUCAAAAGGUUAGAACGUGAUUAUAUUCGUUAAGGAUGUUGACGUA
rnacentral:rRNA from 1 species